rnacentral:ncRNA from 2 species
AAAAAGUUUUUUUGCUUAGGGUUUUUAUAUAUGUUUGGGUUUUAUGCAAGUUUUUGCGUGACUGAGAUUUUUAUUUAGAUAAUAAUAUUUUUUGUUUCUUUACAGAUAUUUAUGCAGUAAUUAGUAUUAAAUAAUUCAAUAAUUUGAGAUUUAAAAAAAAAUAUUUAGUUCAAACUAAAUUUGUGCCAGCAGUUGCGGUUAGACAAAUUGAGCAAUAAAAAUUGUUUAGAUUGGGGUUAAUUUAAAAAAAGUUUAUUAUUAGUAAAUUCGGGGAUUAUUAGGUGAAAUUUUAAUUUUUUUUGAUGUAAUAAAAGCUUUGGGGUGAGGCUUGAAAACUUUAUUUAAAACUAGGAUUAGAUACCCUAUUAUAGAAGAGUAAUGUUUUAAAUUCUAAAUUAGUAGUAGUUAUGUUCUUGAAAAUUAAUGAAGAUGGCGGUAUCUUAGUCCAUUCAGAGGAACCUGUCCUGUAAUUGAUAAUCCACGUUCUAAUUUACUUGUUUUAUAUAGUUUAUAUAUCGCUGUAGUUUUGAAUAUUUCUUUUGAAUUUUAAUAUUCAGGAUUUUUGUAGAAAAAAAUUCAAGUCAAGAUGUAGUUCAUAAAUAAGGAGAGAUGGGUUACAUUAUUAUUAUAUUUGGAUUUAAAUUUGUGAAAUUUAUUGAAAAUGGAUUUGAGAGUAAUUUAGAACAGGUUUUCUAAAUGAUUAAGGCUCUAGGAUAUGCACAUAUCGCCCGUCACUUCCAUUCUAAAAUGGAAUAAGUCGUAACAUAGUAGAUGUACUGGAAAGUGUAUCUAGAAGACA